GAUGAACGCUGGCGGCGUGCCUAAUACAUGCAAGUCGAGCGAACGGACGAGAAGCUUGCUUUUCUGAUGUUAGCGGCGGACGGGUGAGUAACACGUGGAUAACCUACCUAUAAGACUGGGAUAACUUCGGGAAACCGGAGCUAAUACCGGAUAAUAUUUUGAACCGCAUGGUUCAAAAGUGAAAGACGGUCUUGCUGUCACUUAUAGAUGGAUCCGCGCUGCAUUAGCUAGUUGGUAAGGUAACGGCUUACCAAGGCAACGAUGCAUAGCCGACCUGAGAGGGUGAUCGGCCACACUGGAACUGAGACACGGUCCAGACUCCUACGGGAGGCAGCAGUAGGGAAUCUUCCGCAAUGGGCGAAAGCCUGACGGAGCAACGCCGCGUGAGUGAUGAAGGUCUUCGGAUCGUAAAACUCUGUUAUUAGGGAAGAACAUAUGUGUAAGUAACUGUGCACAUCUGACGGUACCUAAUCAGAAAGCCACGGCUAACUACGUG
rnacentral:rRNA from 1 species